CCGGGGCGGGGCGCGGGCCCGGCGAGGGGUGGUGAACGCCGCCUCGGAGGGCGCGGCGCUGUCCAGAGUCCGGUGGGAAGCUGAGCGCCCUGCAGGGGCCCUGGGCGCGUGUAGGGCAGCCGAGGGGUUGGGGUUUCUGUGGGCGUGGCCGUCGUCCACCGCACAGUUGGGGACAUUAGAGUUAGGCUUGAGCCCCCUCCCAAGUCCCCCCAGUGUCCACCCUCGCGGAGGGGUGAAGUGCGGGCUCCGCAAGGGGCAGUGGAUGCCGUGGUUUUACUUCUUUCCCACCGCGGUGCUUAGAAAGGGGCACCCGAAGAAUCGCUCCGUGCCUCUACACCAGUCUACAGCAUGCCUGCGUAUGGGUUCAAAAGGUGGCACAGUGACUGGCACAUAGCAGCGGCCCCAGGUUAUCUGAGAACCAAUCAAUGAACAAAGACCAGCCUGGCUCCAGUUGUCAGUGUGGAAGCUGCCACCACGGAUACAGAAGAGAUCAAGAAACAGCUGAUGGGACAACAUCUUUCUGAGCAUGCUUUGGUAAUUGCUAGAAUAAAUGCAAAUCUGAGAAGCUUGGCAGAAGUCUGAAGAGAUUGAGCAAUUUCCUGCUUUACAAGGAAGAAAUUAAAAUAUGACAUUAAACAAAUGAAAAAAUCAGUGAUCAAUGGGAAGCAAUUCAGAUCCUUUUCUAGAUGACAGAGAGUGAUGGGACCCAAAAGAGAGGCAUAUAAAGGAAGUUCUCCAGGUAGCAGUGGGCCACUGUGGUGUGUGCUUGAAGGAGCUGACAGAGUGAGAUGCUAGAGAGCAGCCCAUGUGGCAGGUGGAACCUGCAGCUCUGCCACUGUCUUCCACCAUGAUCUUGGAAAAAAGGGAAUUUCAUUCACACACUGGGAAAUCACGGCAAACCUACCUCACUGUGUUGAAAUGGGACGAAUGCAAACGAAGGCAUUGGGUGCUGUGUGUCUGGUCCUGGGUUCCUGCCUCCCUUCAGUCACAGUAUUGAUCCGGGCUCUGGAGGACUUCAGUAAAGUUACAGACACUGAGAGGGAGAGGCAAAGAAAGGUCUUCCAUCCACUGGUUCACUCCCCAAAUGGCCAUAACAGCCGGAGCUGGGCUGAUCCUAAGCCAGGAGCCAGGAGCUUGUUCCAGUUCUCCCAUUCGGGUGUAGGGGUCCAAAGACUUGGCCAUCUUCUACUGCUUUCCCAGGCUGUAGCAGAGAGCUGGAUUGGAAGAGGAGCAGCUGGGACUAGAACCAGUGCCAGUAUGGAAUGCCGGUGCCGAAGGCGGAGGAUUAACCUCCUGUGCCACAGCGCUGGCUUCUGGCUCUCAGUCUCUUCGGAUGGGCAUUUCUCCGGCAGCUGGAUGAGAGGCAUUUCAACUCUCCGAGGCCUACAUCUGCUUGUUAAGGUGCUUAAUGUGGCAGCAGCCCCAACAGUGGUGGAAGGCAAGGCUGUCUUUCUCCCUAUGGGCUUGGGGACUGUGUGGCAGCUGGCAGACUAAUUAGGAGCCUGGAAGAAGUUUCCUUUCCCCCUGUCUCAGCCUUGGGGCAGGAGGGACUCAAGCUGCCAAUCUGACCCUUCUUGGUUUCUUAGGGCCAGGUUAUCCAGGCAGUGCUCCUGAGGAGCUCCAGAUUUUAUCAUGAACUCUGCUUUAUGAGCUGCUCUGCCUUCCCUGCGUUCCUGUCCAGCCAAUUGCGGAGACAAUGUGCAGAGAUUCCACGGCACCCAAAUAUUCACUUGAGUCUGCUGUCUCCAGAGGCCAUUAGAACUGACAGAGGCAGAGAGACUGGAAGUGUGAGUGAAGGGAGGAGAAUUGAAUUCACAUCACUCAUUGUCUUCCCAGGACUCUUCCGUGGAUUAAAUAACCCUAAUUUUAAUUUGAUUUAUUUUAAUCAGAUUUAUUUCUCCAUCUCCUCUGUGUCCUCUUAAGUCUUAGCUUGAAUCAUGCUUGUUUUUGUAUCCAACACCUGACACAAUGCAUGGGGGCAUAUUGGACUUCCAUUAGCUAUAUUUGGAAUAAAUGAAUGCAAAUGUGAAAGUGCAGUGAACGAAUUGAUCACUCUCAGGAGGUCCAUCCAGAAUUUUACACUGUAAAUACAAGUCUCUGAAUGUGGUAAUUUAUUAUUAUUCUUUAAAAUUUUUAAUUAAUUAAUUAAAAAAUUUAUUUACAGGCAGAAACUGACAGACAAAAAUAUGGAAGUUUCUCAUUCACUGGUUCACUCCCCAACUGCUGGCAAAAGCCAGGAUUGGCCCAGGCUGAAACCAGGAGCCAGAAUCUCAAUAUAGGUUUCCCAUGUGGGUGGCUUGAAUCAUCACCAGCUGCCUCAUGGGAUGCGCAUUAGCAGGAAGCUAGAAUCAGGGGCAUAGCUGCAACUUGACCCCGGGCACUCCAGUAUGAGAUGCAGCCAUCCCAAGCGGUAUCUUCAUAAGUAGGCAAAUGCCUGGCCUUGACCCUGGUAAUUUAGACAAAAGGAAUCUUGUUGGAAUGAUAUUGAGAGAGUCCAAGGAUAGAGAAGGGUAGGGACUGGGCUUGGAAGUGGAUGGGAGUCAAGGCACUCCUGGAGGGCUGGGAAACUAGAAGUCAGGCCUGAGCAAGCAGCAGGAACGCUCUGGAAAGGUUCCCACUACUGGGUGAAAGUCCUCCAGUCUCUGUGGCUGUCGCUUGUAUUGCUCACUCGAGAUUCCAAAGUUCUAGGAGAAAAUCCAUUAACUGUGCUGCCAAGUAGAAAAAGCCUAACCCACUGGCUUCCAAAGGGAAGGCAUCUAUCUGGAUUCCAGUGCCACCAAGGCUACUCAUAAUGAGGAGAAUAAUUCCCCUGCGAGGACGGGAGUGUAUUGUGAACCGGUAAAUAGCGCUGAGUGCCACAAAGCAAUGUGAGUUCCCCAAAUGACGACUCUGAUUUCCAACAUGGUACACUUGAUCUCUUUCUCACCUCCACUCCUCCCCACUGCUGGAGCUUUUGAAACCAUUGCCAAGAUUGGGGUAAGUGGAGGAGAGGGGCAGGGGCUGGCCAAACUGCUUUGAGACCACUUCCUUUCGCUGCUGUCUUCCGGCCCCUGCUGCUCUGCGCUGGGCUCUGUCCCUGUGCAACCCUGGGGGGAUUCACAGAACUGGCUUUGGGGAGAGGUAGGUAAGCUCCUGGGCUCCAUUAGUCAGCCUCAGCUCUUCUUUUCUCUCUCUCUCUCUCUUUUUUUUUUUUUUUGACAGGCAGAGUGGACAGUGAGAGAGAGAGAAACAGAGAGAAAGGUCUUCCUUUGCCGUCGUUUCACCCUCCAAUGGCCGCCGUGGCCGGCGCGCUGGGGCCUGCGCACUGCGCUGAUCUGAAGCCAGGAGCCAGGUGCUUCUCCUGGUCUCCUAGGCGGGUGCAGUGCCCAAGCACUUGGGCCAUCCUCCACUGCACUCCUGGGCCACAGCAGAGAGCUGGCCUGGAAGAGGAGCAACCAGGACAGAAACCGGCGCCCCGACCGGGACUAGAACCUGGUGUGCCGGCAUCGCAGGCGGAGGAUUAGCCUAGUGAGCCGCGGCACCGGCUCUUUCCUCUCUUAAGGACAGCACGGGCGAUGACAUUUGGGUGCUUAGAUGAAACAGACUUCCGUGGGUUGUCUUGAGAUGCUAGUUACUAAGUGUUACCAGUUUCCAAGUAACCUUCUGUCUUAGUCUGUUUGGGCUGCUGGACUGGGUGGCUUACAAACAAUAGAAACUUGUUUGUCAAAAUUCUGUAGUUUGGGAAUUCCAAGAUCAGUGCACUGGCAGAUUUGGUGUCUGAUGAAGGCUUUCUCAUCUGUAGCCAUCUUCUCACCAUAAUCUCCCAAGUAGAAGUGGGGGCAGACCUCUCUGGGAUCUUUGAAAGGGCCCUAAUCUUGCGUAUGAGGGCUUCACCCUCAGGAACUUAUCGCUUCAAGAAGCCCCUAGCUGCCAAUACCAUCCCAGAUGGAAUUAGCAGUCCAGGGGACGAAUCUGGGACACACGCAGUCCAUAGCACCUUCCUUUCUCUGCAAAUGUUUAUUAAACAGCAAUCACUCAGAAACCAAUAACCAUUUUCUUCAUAGAACUUACAGUCUAGUGGUAGAAAGCAGAUAUGAAAUAAACAGCCAAAAAACUGCACAUGCAUUUGCAAAUUGGUGGAGAACUGCCCGUAGUAAGUGGGGGGAAUUCAUGACAGAAAUCUGGUUUAGGUAGAGAAGCUAUGAAAAGGCCCCUUUGAGGAAGUGACUUGUAAGCUGGAGAUCUGAAUGAUGGAUGGACCGUGCUGUCAAAGUGUCUCAUUCUUAGGUUUCUGUUUCAUGGCCCAAAGUUCUAUGCUGUUCUCAGUCACAGGUAGUCCUCAGGUGUGAGUGUAUUGGGGCGUAUGGUGGUUCAUUUUGUCAUCACAAUGACUCAGGGAGCAGUACUGGAAUUUAGUGCACACAGGCAGAGAUACUAAGUGCCUGCAACACACAAGGUGCUUGUGCAUAACAAAGAAGCACCUUGCUCACAACGCCAACACACCUACACCCGCAAAACCCUGCAGAUGAGGUCAGCCUCAUCAGGACAACUGCUGUGGAGCCAGGGUUGUUCAAAGAGCUUUGGGAUGACGUCAGAUUGGCCCAGCUUGAGUUCUGUGCCUUGCCUUGAACCAAGCCCAGUGACUGGGGAUGGAAAUGUAACUCAGGGUGGGGAAGGGGUGAAUCUGCCAAGGAAAACUGUGGUGCUGUUGGUAGAAGACGGGAACUGCUGAUGGGCAAGCAAAGGAGCGGAAGACCAUGGCAUGAAUGAGAAAUGCAAUGGGAGGAAUUUGGAUGAGCAGGCAGGGCCCAGGCCAUUCUGCAUCGUCAAGGAUUUGAGACUUCUCUUAAGUGCCCUGGAGAGCCACUGACAGAUUGUAGGCAGUGAAGGGAGUUGUAAAAUCUGUGUCAAACUUCAAAGCCUCUGUGCUUUAGGCUUUGUGGACAUUUUGCCUAAACUGUCCACGGAAGAAGCACUGUAAUGCCCCUACUUCUCUCAGCAUCUCUUUUCUUAUGUCUUUAUUAUUAUUAUGUGGAUCCCACUGUUUUCUACCUAGAGGUAAAGGACACAAGCAGUCUUAUUCUAGGAAAGGAUUCUCCUUCCACUGGCCUCCGUCAAGUAUAUGAACUGCAGCACAUUCCAGAAUUUGCUUUCUGCUCCAGAGACGACUGUUGGAAUUGAGCAAGUGUCCUUAUCCCAGGAUGUGAUGGGUUUAAUCCAAUUAACUCUCUAGUGGAAAAUCUCUCUCCGUCCCAGCGAUGCUUAUGCCAUUACGGCCAAGUCCAGGGCAUUGCCAACAUAUCUUUGCAAAUUUCAUUGGCAGUGGCUGUUUCCGCCUUCUUAUAGGACAUUAAUGAGUUUGUUAAAAUGAGGAGGCCGGUUCCAGCAGCAGACUCCGACAUGCCCCAGUGGGCCUUUUGCUUCCAACCUGACGUGGUCCCCAUUUACUCCUGUUUAUGCAGUGUUUUCACCCUGCCAGCCUUCCGUUUAGACAACACUAUUCAAAACCAGCCCAAUUUAAUCUGGAGCAUGACUUUCACGGAUGUCCUGGUCAAAUGCACCACUGACACCCACAUAAUAUCCCGGUCCCCCUCUUCUCAUUUGGUCUCCUGCUUUCUACCUGUUGUUCUUUCAAAAGGGUUUCAGGAUAUAUAUUCUUGUGCUGAAGUAUGUACAACAUGGAAGGUUCCUCUUAACCAUUUUUGGGGCUAGGGUGCAGUUUGGUGAUGUUAAUAUGUCCACGCUGUUGUGCAGCCAAUUUCCAGAACUUCAUUUUGCGAAAUGAAAGCUGUUCCCACGGAGAAGCUCGCCAUGCCCUCUUUCCCGCAGCCUCAGCAACCGCAGUUCCUCUGUCGUUACGGACUUGGCCACUCUAGGUACUGCCAAUAAUGGGAAUCGGACAGCAUUUUCUUUCAUGGCUGGCUUAUUCCGCUUAGCAUAAUGCCCUGCAGAUUCAUCCAUGUUGUAGCAGGUGUCAUAAUUGCCUUCCUUUUAAAGGCUGAAUAAAAUUACACAGUGUGUAAACAUGCAUCACAUGUUCUUUAUGCUGUCAUCUGUCGGUGGGCGUUUAGGCUGCUUCCAUGUUUUCCAUGUGAAUAUUGCUGUUAUGAACAUGUGUGUGCAAGUACUGUUCCAGUCUCCACCUUCAAUUCAUUUGGACAUAUACACAGACAUGGAAUUGCUGAUUACAUGGUAAUUCUAUUUUUAAUGAUUUUGAGGAACUGCCAUACUACUUUCCACAGUAGCUUCACCAUUUUACAUUCCUACCGACAGUGCACAAAGUUUGGUUUCUGCACAUCCUUUCCAAUAUUUGUUGUUUUCUAAUUUUUGGUGGGAGCAUCCUAAUGGGUUUUUGGUGCUAGCUAAUGGUGGUCCUGGAACUUCAUAUUGGUUUUGAUUUGUAUUUACCCAGUCAUUAAGAUGUUGAGCUUCUUUUCAUAUGCGUAUUGGUUACUUGGCUAUCUGUUUUGGAAAAAUGUCUAUUCAAGUGCUUUGCCCAUUUAGUCAAGUUUUUGUUGUUAUUGAGUCGUAGGAGAUCUUUAUAUACUGUAAAUAUUAACCCCUUAUUGGAUAUAUGAUUUGCAAAUAGGAGGUA